UACAGAGGGUGCAAGCGUUAAUCGGAUUUACUGGGCGUAAAGCGCGCGUAGGUGGCUAAUUAAGUCAAAUGUGAAAUCCCCGAGCUUAACUUGGGAAUUGCAUUCGAUACUGGUUAGCUAGAGUAUGGGAGAGGAUGGUAGAAUUCCAGGUGUAGCGGUGAAAUGCGUAGAGAUCUGGAGGAAUACCGAUGGCGAAGGCAGCCAUCUGGCCUAAUACUGACACUGAGGUGCGAAAGCAUGGGGAGCAAACAGG
rnacentral:rRNA from 1 species